GUCGACAUAGUUUAAUCAAGAACGUUAGAUUGUGAUUCUAGAAAUAGGGGAUAAAAUCCCCUUGUUGACC
rnacentral:tRNA from 1 species